AUUGAACGCUGGCGGCAUGCCUUACACAUGCAAGUCAAACGGUAACAGGUCUUCGGAUGCUGACGAGUGGCGAACGGGUGAGUAAUACAUCGGAACGUGCCCAGACGUGGGGGAUAACGAGGCGAAAGCUUUGCUAAUACCGCAUACGAUCUAAGGAUGAAAGCAGGGGACCGCAAGGCCUUGUGCGUUUGGAGCGGCCGAUGGCAGAUUAGGUAGUUGGUGGGAUAAAAGCUUACCAAGCCGACGAUCUGUAGCUGGUCUGAGAGGACGACCAGCCACACUGGGACUGAGACACGGCCCAGACUCCUACGGGAGGCAGCAGUGGGGAAUUUUGGACAAUGGGCGAAAGCCUGAUCCAGCAAUGCCGCGUGCAGGAUGAAGGCCUUCGGGUUGUAAACUGCUUUUGUACGGAACGAAAAGGCUCUGGCUAAUACCUGGGGCACAUGACGGUACCGUAAGAAUAAGCACCGGCUAACUACGUG
rnacentral:rRNA from 1 species